rnacentral:rRNA from 1 species
UACGGAGGGGGCUAGCGUUGUUCGGAAUUACUGGGCGUAAAGCGCACGUAGGCGGCUUUGUAAGUUAGAGGUGAAAGCCCGGGGCUCAACUCCGGAAUUGCCUUUAAGACUGCAUCGCUAGAAUUGUGGAGAGGUAAGUGGAAUUCCGAGUGUAGAGGUGAAAUUCGUAGAUAUUCGGAAGAACACCAGUGGCGAAGGCGGCCAGCUGGGCCAGGUCCGACACUGAGGCGCGAAAGCGUGGGGAGCAACAGG